UAACGAAUCUUCCGCAAUGCGCGAAAGCGUGACGGAGCAAUGCCGCGUGUGGGAUGAAGCGGUUACGCCGUGUAAACCACUGUCAGGGUCGAGGAAGAACUGACCAGACCCAGAGGAAGGGCCGGCUAAUCUCGUGCCAGCAGCCGCGGUAAUACGAGAGGCCCAAGCGUUAGGCGGAAUCACUGGGCUUAAAGGGUGCGCAGGCGGACAGGCAGGCAUCUCGUGAAAUCCCUCGGCUCAACCGAGGAAUUGCGGGGUGAACCGCCUGUCUUGAGGAAGGCAGAGGCUGUCGGAACGUUCGGUGGAGCGGUGAAAUGCGUAGAUAUCGAACGGAACGCCGAAGGGGUAGCCAGGCAGCUGGGCCUUACCUGACGCUCAGGCACGAAAGCGUGGGGAUCAAACAGGAUUAGAUACCCCCGUAGUCC
rnacentral:rRNA from 1 species